UACGGGGGGUCAAGCGUUGUUCGGAAUUACUGGGCGUAAAGGGCGCGUAGGCGGCCUACUAAGUCGGACGUGAAAUCCCUCGGCUCAACCGAGGAACUGCGUCCGAUACUGGUGGGCUUGAAUCCGGGAGAGGGAUGUGGAAUUCCAGGUGUAGCGGUGAAAUGCGUAGAUAUCUGGAGGAACACCGGUGGCGAAGGCGGCAUCCUGGACCGGUAUUGACGCUGAUGCGCGAAAGCCAGGGGAGCAAACGGGG
rnacentral:rRNA from 1 species